GGCUGGAUAGCUCAGUCGGCAGAGCAUGAGACUCUUAACUCCAGGGUUGUGGGUUUGAACCCCAUGUUGGGUG